UACGGAGGAUCCGAGCGUUAUCCGGAUUUAUUGGGUUUAAAGGGUGCGUAGGCGGCCUAUUAAGUCAGGGGUGAAAGACGGUAGCUUAACUAUCGCAGUGCCUUUGAUACUGAUAGGCUUGAAUGUACAUGAGGUAGGCGGAAUGUGACAAGUAGCGGUGAAAUGCAUAGAUAUACGAAGGAACGCCAAAGGCGAAGGCAGCUCUCUGGGUCGCUACCGACGCUGGGGUGCGAAAGCAUGGGGAGCGAACAGG
rnacentral:rRNA from 1 species